AUCCAACUAACGAGUUCCAAAUAGGACACAAUGCGCGUCUUGGAU
rnacentral:hammerhead_ribozyme from 1 species